GAGCAAUGAUUAAAUCCUGUGCUAAUGUGACUGGUUGGGUCCGUCACAACUGACUGAUCUCUUGAUUAGCUCAGCACGCAUGAGCUC
rnacentral:snoRNA from 1 species